UUUUAUGGAGAGUUUGAUCCUGGCUCAGGAUGAACGCUGGCGGCGUGCCUAAUACAUGCCAAGUCGAGCGAACGGACGAGAAGCUUGCUUCUCUGAUGUUAGCGGCGGACGGGUGAGUAACACGUGGAUAACCUACCUAUAAGACUGGGAUAACUUCGGGAAACCGGAGCUAAUACCGGAUAAUAUUUUGAACCGCAUGGUUCAAAAGUGAAAGACGGUCUUGCUGUCACUUAUAGAUGGAUCCGCGCUGCAUUAGCUAGUUGGUAAGGUAACGGCUUACCAAGGCAACGAUGCAUAGCCGACCUGAGAGGGUGAUCGGCCACACUGGAACUGAGACACGGUCCAGACUCCUACGGGAGGCAGCAGUAGGGAAUCUUCCGCAAUGGGCGAAAGCCUGACGGAGCAACGCCGCGUGAGUGAUGAAGGUCUUCGGAUCGUAAAACUCUGUUAUUAGGGAAGAACAUAUGUGUAAGUAACUGUGCACAUCUUGACGGUACCUAAUCAGAAAGCCACGGCUAACUACGUGCCAGCAGCCGCGGUAAUACGUAGGUGGCAAGCGUUAUCCGGAAUUAUUGGGCGUAAAGCGCGCGUAGGCGGUUUUUUAAGUCUGAUGUGAAAGCCCACGGCUCAACCGUGGAGGGUCAUUGGAAACUGGAAAACUUGAGUGCAGAAGAGGAAAGUGGAAUUCCAUGUGUAGCGGUGAAAUGCGCAGAGAUAUGGAGGAACACCAGUGGCGAAGGCGACUUUCUGGUCUGUAACUGACGCUGAUGUGCGAAAGCGUGGGGAUCAAACAGGAUUAGAUACCCUGGUAGUCCACGCCGUAAACGAUGAGUGCUAAGUGUUAGGGGGUUUCCGCCCCUUAGUGCUGCAGCUAACGCAUUAAGCACUCCGCCUGGGGAGUACGACCGCAAGGUUGAAACUCAAAGGAAUUGACGGGGACCCGCACAAGCGGUGGAGCAUGUGGUUUAAUUCGAAGCAACGCGAAGAACCUUACCAAAUCUUGACAUCCUUUGACAACUCUAGAGAUAGAGCCUUCCCCUUCGGGGGACAAAGUGACAGGUGGUGCAUGGUUGUCGUCAGCUCGUGUCGUGAGAUGUUGGGUUAAGUCCCGCAACGAGCGCAACCCUUAAGCUUAGUUGCCAUCAUUAAGUUGGGCACUCUAAGUUGACUGCCGGUGACAAACCGGAGGAAGGUGGGGAUGACGUCAAAUCAUCAUGCCCCUUAUGAUUUGGGCUACACACGUGCUACAAUGGACAAUACAAAGGGCAGCGAAACCGCGAGGUCAAGCAAAUCCCAUAAAGUUGUUCUCAGUUCGGAUUGUAGUCUGCAACUCGACUACAUGAAGCUGGAAUCGCUAGUAAUCGUAGAUCAGCAUGCUACGGUGAAUACGUUCCCGGGUCUUGUACACACCGCCCGUCACACCACGAGAGUUUGUAACACCCGAAGCCGGUGGAGUAACCUUUUAGGAGCUAGCCGUCGAAGGUGGGACAAAUGAUUGGGGUGAAGUCGUAACAAGGUAGCCGUAUCGGAAGGUGCGGCUGGAUCACCUUGGAAAC
rnacentral:rRNA from 1 species